rnacentral:tRNA from 25 species
GCCCAGAUAGCUCAGUCGGUAGAGCAAAGGACUGAAAAUCCUUGUGUCGGUGGUUCGAUUCCACCUCUGGGCACCA